CGUGGAGUAUGUGGUUUAAUUCGAUGCAACGCGAAGAACCUUACCUGGUCUUGACAUCCCGGAGACCCUUAGGAAACUAGGGGGUGCUUCCAUCUGGAAGAAUCUGGAGACAGGUGCUGCAUGGCUGUCGUCAGCUCGUGUCGUGAGAUGUUGGGUUAAGUCCCGCAACGAGCGCAACCCUUGCCUUUAGUUGCCAGCAGUUCGGCUGGGCACUCUAAAGGGACUGCCGGUGUUAAACCGGAGGAAGGUGGGGAUGACGUCAAGUCCUCAUGGCCUUUAUGACCAGGGCUACACACGUACUACAAUGGCCGAUACAAAGGGCAGCGACACUGCGAGGUGAAGCCAAUCCCGUAAAAUCGGUCUCAGUCCGGAUUGGAGUCUGCAACUCGACUCCAUGAAGUUGGAAUCGCUAGUAAUCGUGGAUCAGCAUGCCACGGUGAAUACGUUCCCGGGCCUU
rnacentral:rRNA from 1 species